rnacentral:rRNA from 1 species
UUCGCAAUGCCCGAAAGGGUGACGAUGCGACGCCGCGUGAGCGAAGAAGGCCCUAGGGUUGUAAAGCUCUGUCGAGGGUUAUGAAAUAUAGAUGGGUUAAUACCCCAUUUAUUUGACAAAAGCCCAAAAGGAAGCCACGGCUAACUCUGUGCCAGCAGCCGCGGUAAUACAGAGGUGGCGAGCGUUGUUCGGUAUUAUUGGGCGUAAAGAGCACGUAGGUGGUUUUGUAAGUCAGGUGUGAAAGCCUUCUGUUCAAAGGAAGAACGGCAUCUGAAACUGCAGAUCUUGAGCGUAGGAGGGGAGAGUGGAACUUCUGGUGGAGCGGUGAAAUGCGUAGAUAUCAGAGGGAACGUCGGCGGCGAAAGCGACUCUCUGGCCUAUUACUGACACUGAGGUGCGAAAGUUAGGGGAGCAAACGGGAUUAGAUACCCCGGUAGUCCUAACCGUAAACGAUGGGCACUAAGUAGAGGGGUUUU